rnacentral:lncRNA from 1 species
CCACAUUUAAGCCCCCGCGGUCACAGGCGUUCUGACUGCGGGAAACAUCACUUCGACGCGGCUGCGUCUUUCUGACCGUGGCCGAGCACCAGUUUGCCGUGGUCGCGUGACUCCUGACCGGGGCAGAUGGUCGUUGAGAUGAUAUCCGACCCCAAACCACCCACUUCACCUCAUUCCACCUCACCAAGCCCCAUUCCACCUCAUUCAUCACUUCCC